UUUAGUGUUGUAAGUCUGUAAACUUACCGUUGUCCCACCAGGGGACUUGUAUUUAAGUGCUCAUUAUGCAUUCAUGUGACCAUUUGGAAACUGGAAUGUAUGUAUGCGAGAGCAAAAAUUUGUUUCCAAAUGUUCUUGAAAAAACAAGCACUAAGCUACACAAUGAGCUAUCUGUGCUCUGUCCACCGCCUGGAAUCGACCCCCAGAAUUUAGCCACAUAAGUCCGGAAACUUAACGCUGACUCAUCUAGAGGACUCGCUAUGAUUUGAAAUACCUAUUUUCGUUGUCUAUACUGUGGUUUAUCUUCAGAAAUUCAUGCAAAAAUGUAAACUGUAGGAGUAAAAAAUCCUAACAUUUA